AGACUGGAUAGGAAGAUAAAAGGCAUCUUGUAUCUUUUAAAAGACCUAGUUAAUAGGUAUGCUUUAGGAGGGGCUUGCGCCAUAUUAGUUAGUUGGUAGGGUAAUGGCCUACCAAGACGAUGAUGUGUAGCUGGACUGAGAGGUUGAACAGCCACAUUGGGACUGAGACACGGCCCAAACUCCUACGGGAGGCAGCAGUAGGGAAUUUUCGGCAAUGGAGGAAACUCUGACCGAGCAACGCCGCGUGAAUGACGAAGUACUUCGGUAUGUAAAGUUCUUUUAUCGAGGAAGAAAAGCAAAUGGCGAACCAUUUGUUUGCCGGUACUUGAUGAAUAAGCCCCGGCUAAUUAUGUGCCAGCAGCCGCGGUAAGACAUAAGGGGCAAGUGUUAUCCGGAAUUAUUGGGCGUAAAGGGUGCGUAGGCGGUCUAGUAAGUCAGUGGUGUAAUGGCAACGCUUAACGUUGUCCGGCUAUUGAAACUGCUAAACUUGAGUUAGAUAGAGGCGAGUGGAAUUCCAUGUGUAGCGGUAAAAUGCGUAAAUAUAUGGAGGAACACCAGAGGCGUAGGCGGCUCGCUGGGUCUUAACUGACGCUGAGGCACGAAAGCGUGGGGAGCAAACAGGAUUAGAUACCCUGGUAGUCCACGCCGUAAACGAUGAGUACUAAGUGUCGGGUUAAACCGGUACUGAAGUUAACACAUUAAGUACUCCGCCUGAGUAGUACGUACGCAAGUAUGAAACUUAAAGGAAUUGACGGGACUCCGCACAAGCGGUGGAUCAUGUUGUUUAAUUCGAAGAUACCCGAAAAACCUUACCAGGUCUUGACAUGUUUUUGCAAAUGAUAGUAAUAUCGUGGAGGUUACCAGAAACACAGGUGGUGCAUGGUUGUCGUCAGCUCGUGUCGUGAGAUGUUAGUUAAGUCCUAAAACGAGCGAAACCCUUAUCGUUAGUUGCCAGCACGUUAUGGUGGGGACUUUAACGAGACUGCCAAUGAUAAAUUGGAGGAAGGUGAGGAUCACGUCAAAUCAGCAUGCCCCUUAUGACCUGGGCUACAAACGUGAUACAAUGGCUGUUACAAAGGGUAGCUGAAACGCAAGUUCUUGGCCAAUCCCCAAAAACAGUCCCAGUCCGGAUUGAAGUCUGCAACUCGACUUCAUGAAGUUGGAAUCGCUAGUAAUCGCGAAUCAGCAUGUCGCGGUGAAUACGUUCUCGGGGUUUGUACACACCGCC
rnacentral:rRNA from 1 species